rnacentral:rRNA from 1 species
CAAUAGCGUAUAUUAAAGUUGUUGCGGUUAAAAAGCUCGUAGUUGGAUUUCUGCUGAGGACGAUCGGUCCGCCCACUGGGUGAGUAUCUGGCUCGGCCUUGGCAUCUUCUUGGAGAACGUUGCUGCACUUGACUGUGUGGUGCGGUAUCCAGGACUUUUACUUUGAGGAAAUUAGAGUGUUUCAAGCGGGCGCACGCCUUGAAUAUAUUAGCAUGGAAUAAUAAUAUAGGAUCUUGGUUCUAUUUUGUUGGUUUCUAGAGCUAAGAUAAUGAUUAAUAGGGACAAUUGGGGGCAUUCGUAUUAACGCGUCAGAGGUGGAAUUCUUGGAUUGCGUUACGACGAACUACUGCGAAAGCAUUUGCCAAGGAUGUUUNCAUUGA